UGGGGAAUUGUUCGCAAUGGGCGCAAGCCUGACGACGCAACGCCGCGUGGAGGACGAAGAUCUUCGGGUCGUAAACUCCUGUCGAGUGGGAAGAACGCUUCGGGGACGAAUACCCUCCGAAAUUGACGGUACCACUAAAGGAAGCCCCGGCUAACUCCGUGCCAGCAGCCGCGGUAAUACGGGGGGGGCAAGCGUUGUUCGGAAUUACUGGGCGUAAAGGGCUCGUAGGCGGCCAACUAAGUCAGACGUGAAAUCCCCAGGCUUAACCUGGGAACUGCAUCCGAUACUGGAUGGCUUGAAUUCGGGAGAGGGAUGCAGAAUUCCAGGUGUAGCGGUGAAAUGCGUAGAUAUCUGGAGGAAUACCGGUGGCGAAGGCGGCAUCCUGGACCGACAUUGACGCUGAUGAGCGAAAGCUAGGGGAGCAAACGGGAUUAGAUACCCCUGUAGUCC
rnacentral:rRNA from 1 species